rnacentral:rRNA from 1 species
UACGAAGGGGGCGAGCGUUGUUCGGAAUUACUGGGCGUAAAGGGCGCGUAGGCGGCCGAUCAAGUCAGAUGUGAAAGUCCUGGGCUUAACCUGGGGACUGCAUUUGAUACUGAUUGGCUUGAAUUCGGGAGAGGAUAGCGGAAUUCCCAGUGUAGAGGUGAAAUUCGUAGAUAUUGGGAAGAACACCGGUGGCGAAGGCGGCUAUCUGGACCGACAUUGACGCGUGAUGCGCGAAAGCGUGGGGAGCAAACAGG